AACCGCGUGACGAUAUCAAAC
rnacentral:miRNA from 1 species